UCCAGACUCCUACGGGAGGCAGCAGUGGGGGAUAUUGCACAAUGGGGGGAACCCUGAUGCAGCGACGCCGCGUGGGUGAAGGAGCGUUUCGGCGCGUAAAGCCCUCUCGGCAGGGAAGAAGGAGGACGGUACCUGACUAAGGAGCCCCGGCUAACUACGUGCCAGCAGCCGCGGUAAUACGUAGGGGGCAAGCGUUAUCCGGAUUUACUGGGUGUAAAGGGGGCGCAGACGGCAGCGCAAGCCAGGAGUGAAAGCCCGGGGCCCAACCCCGGGACUGCUCUUGGAACUGCGCGGCUGGAGUGCAGGAGGGGCAGGCGGAAUUCCUGGUGUAGCGGUGAAAUGCGUAGAUAUCAGGAGGAACACCAGUGGCGAAGGCGGCCUGCUGGACUGCAACUGACGUUGAGGCCCGAAAGCGUGGGGAGCAAACAGGAUUAGAUACCCGAGUA
rnacentral:rRNA from 1 species